rnacentral:lncRNA from 1 species
GUACAGAAAGCCAUCCAACAAGGACCCCAGCCUGCUCCUCUAGAAGCUUUUCUGGCUGGCAUCCCUCCCGGGUAGAUGGAGCACUUGCUUGUGCAUGGGGCAAGACCUGGGAAUUGGGUCUGGGCUGGAGAUGUUGGUACUCAGCUGGAAACGGGUGCCCCGGUCCCUGGAGAGGAGCCUGAAUUUGGAGACCUAGUGCUCAGGACCUGGGCUGGAAAAGGCUUGGGAGACCUAGAUGUGAUUCCUGCCUCUUCAAAGUGAAUUUGGAGGCCCUGGAAGAACGCAGGCUACCUUGCAAAGUCCAUCCUGUGACUGAAAAAAAACCAUUCCUUGCCAUUCAAAUCAGAAUGUGCCACGCACAGCACUUCCCCAGGGGGUACAGCCAGCAGACGCGUUGGCAAGCUCCUGCAGACCACAUUUGGCAAAAUAAAUGCUCGCAAAACCAAUAAUAACCA